rnacentral:rRNA from 1 species
CCCAACUAUCCCUAUUAAUCAUUACGUCAAUCCUAGAAACCAACAAAAUAGGAUCGAUCGUCCUAUUUCAUUAUUCCAUGCUAAUGUAUUCAAGCGUUAGCCUGCUUUAAACACUUUAAUUUUUUCAAAGUAACAGUCCAGUUUCCCCGCAACACCAAAUUAAUGGCAUUACGGUUCAUCAGGAAGGAGGAAUCAGUAAGACCAGUGCAUACCAGUGGCACGACCAGCCUACUAACCCCGAAAUUCAACUA